CAGUAUUUAUCCAACCACUGCAAAAAGAUCAACGGCCUUCUAAGCCGUCGGUCGGGAGUUCGAAUCUCUCCUGGG
rnacentral:tRNA from 1 species